rnacentral:rRNA from 1 species
GACGAACGCUGGCGGCGUGCUUAACACAUGCAAGUCGAACGGAAGGGUCCUGCUUUUGUGGGGUGCUCGAGUGGCGAACGGGUGAGUAACACGUGAGUAACCUGCCCUUGACUUUGGGAUAACUUCAGGAAACUGGGGCUAAUACCGGAUAGGAGCUCCUGCUGCAUGGUGGGGGUUGGAAAGUUUCGGCGGUUGGGGAUGGACUCGCGGCUUAUCAGCUUGUUGGUGGGGUAGUGGCUUACCAAGGCUUUGACGGGUAGCCGGCCUGAGAGGGUGACCGGCCACAUUGGGACUGAGAUACGGCCCAGACUCCUACGGGAGGCAGCAGUGGGGAAUAUUGCACAAUGGGCGGAAGCCUGAUGCAGCAACGCCGCGUGCGGGAUGACGGCCUUCGGGUUGUAAACCGCUUUCGCCUGUGACGAAGCGUGAGUGACGGUAAUGGGUAAAGAAGCACCGGCUAACUACGUG